UGGCUCAUUAAAUCAGUUAUCGUUUAUUUGAUAGUACCUUACUACUUGGAUAACCGUGGUAAUUCUAGAGCUAAUACAUGCUAAAAACCCCGACUUCGGAAGGGGUGUAUUUAUUAGAUAAAAAACCAACGCCCUUCGGGGCUUCUUGGUGAUUCAUGAUAACUUUACGGAUCGCAUGGCCUUGCGCCGGCGACGGUUCAUUCAAAUUUCUGCCCUAUCAACUUUCGAUGGUAAGGUAUUGGCUUACCAUGGUUUCAACGGGUAACGGGGAAUUAGGGUUCGAUUCCGGAGAGGGAGCCUGAGAAACGGCUACCACAUCCAAGGAAGGCAGCAGGCGCGCAAAUUACCCAAUCCCGACACGGGGAGGUAGUGACAAUAAAUACUGAUACAGGGCUCUUUUGGGUCUUGUAAUUGGAAUGAGUACAAUUUAAACCUCUUAACGAGGAACAAUUGGAGGGCAAGUCUGGUGCCAGCAGCCGCGGUAAUUCCAGCUCCAAUAGCGUAUAUUAAAGUUGUUGCAGUUAAAAAGCUCGUAGUUGAAACUUGGGUCUGGCUGGCAGGUCCGCCUCACCGCGUGUACUUGUCCGGCCGGGCCUUCCUUCUGGAGAACCUCAUGCCCUUCACUGGGCGUGUUGGGGACCAGGACUUUUACUUUGAAAAAAUUAGAGUGUUCAAAGCAGGCCUUUGCUCGAAUACGUUAGCAUGGAAUAAUAGAAUAGGACGUGCGGUCCUAUUUUGUUGGUUUCUAGGACCGCCGUAAUGAUUAAUAGGGACAGUCGGGGGCAUCAGUAUUCAAUUGUCAGAGGUGAAAUUCUUGGAUUUAUUGAAGACUAACUACUGCGAAAGCAUUUGCCAAGGAUGUUUUCAUUAAUCAGUGAACGAAAGUUAGGGGAUCGAAGACGAUCAGAUACCGUCGUAGUCUUAACCGUAAACUAUGCCGACUAGGGAUCGGGCGAUGUUCUUUUUCUGACUCGCU
rnacentral:rRNA from 1 species